CAUAUCCGCGCGCCCCUGCGAAAUGAAUUUUUACUAAGUAAACGCAUCUCCCCUCGCUGCCACGCAGUCACGCACCCUCCUCUUCUCCAACUCGAUGACCUAACCCUAGAGGUGUUCCCCACCGCCGCCGCUCGCGCAGCCUCCUCUCCAGAUCCCAGCAAUCCCCAUCAUCUUGCCCACUGCAUCUGGCGUCGACCGGAUCCGUUCGCUCAGCGUGCCGCCGUGGGUUAUGGAGUACCCCGCGAGCUCCAUGUCUGAGUGCCCAUCCAGAGCUCGACGCAGAGACGUUCUCAUCCCCUCUCUCCGGCGAGGCACUCGACGAGGUAGAUGUCCCCGCGGCUGUCCCACUCGCAGUGCUGCACGGCCCCGCGCAGCCGCAGAGCACGGCUACAGCUCAUGGUCGCGCUCACGGUCCGCGGAACUAACCGCCGGCCUGCCUGCGUCCGUGCCUAGGUUUGAACGAACCCUAGGUGUGCUGAGGUGAGGUCCUCCGUCCCAUCUCCAGCCACCUUUGAUUCGAUUCGACCUGCAUCAGAGGAGGAUGGCUUCCGUCGGCCCGACAGUCGAGUACUCGAGUCCCUCAUCUACAGUACCCAUGGACGUGAGGGUGGAGCCUCAACGUAGCAUGGACGGGAUUUACGGGAGGUGAAGUGUGGAACCCUGCACUGAAUCAUCUUCAAACUGAAAUAUAAGGAGCACAAUAGUCGUGACAUAGUUGCGGAUGAGUGGGCGUGUGCCAAGGCAGGGUACAGACGUUGGGUUUGGGACGCGCAGGGAUGGGGCAAGGGGAAGGCUGCUGUGGCUGAUGCAGUAUGGGAUGUUCUUGCGAUAUUACUGUCUUGUGAUGGUGCAAGUAAAGAGAACCUUAUGUGCCAACACUUCUGUCAGUUCUUUUGCAACCGAUGUCGAGAAGGGCUUUGUGAAGAAGAGUAAGGCUGAGAAGGACCCGGACAAGCCCAAGUGCCCGUCGAGCGCCUUCUUAGUCUCUGUGACGGGUUCAGGAAGGUGUUAAAAUGAUUCGGCUCGCUCUUCUGUAAAAACAAAAUCCUAACAUUGAAUAAGUUUAUGGCAUUUAAUUUAUACCAACCUUUUAGUAAAAUCCUAACUAUUCACCUUCAUUUUGUGGAGAUAGAAUACCUACUUGUUGAAAUGUAUAGUCAUUUAGAAUUUGCAACAUAGUUUGCACUAUAAAGAAAACAAUUAAAUUCAAUCUGCAAGGGGUCUGACUAUUUACUUCUUGACUUAAAGUGAGAGAAAGGGGUUCAGGAAGGUGUUAAAAAGUUUCGGCUCACUGUUCUGCAAAAACAAAAUCCUAAUACUGAAUAAGUUUAUGGUAUUUAAGUUCAACCAACCUUUUAAUACUGAAGGAGUAAAACUAUUCACCUUUAUUUUGCGGAGAUAGAAUACCUACUUGUUGAAAUGUAUAGUCAUUAUAAUUUGCAACAUAGUGUUCACUGUAAAGAAAACAUUUAAAUUCAAUCUGCAAGGGGUCUGACUAUUUACUUCUUGACUUAAAGUGAGAGAAUUAUUAUAGAGGGCUCUUCAUGACCGUUGAUAUGCAUUUCUUAUCUUUUAUUUCUAUUUUUCCAGUCAAGCUCUAUCUGGGAAUUUGACCAACAUGCUACUUGCAUUGUUGCAAAAUAUGAGGUUCCUUUUGGGCACCAUGCCUACCUUUGUCGAUUCCACCAUCAGUGAGAUGAUAGUCUUGUACUUUUGCUGUAACAGCUAUAUAGCUAAUGCUGUUGAAUAAUGUGAUAAUCUCAUCACUCAUGUACUGAUUUUUCAUUUCUUAGAUUGGAUACUUACUAUCGCUGGUGCAAUAGUGCUAGUUACAUCGGUACUGUGUCAGUUCCCCUUGCUCUGUGUGAGUACUUUGGAUGACCCCCUUUGCACAACAGAGGCAGUUCCUUGGGACAAAUGGAGGACACCCAACGGAAGCAUGAUGAUAGUUAAUACUGCCGUUCUGGUUGCCCAGUGUGCUGAAGGUCAUGUCAUAGUCCUGACUUAAUGGAGUCCUGAAUAUGGUUCAUAUGACAGGAGUAGCACCCUGGUUUGUGAUCGCUAUCAAAGGAGCUCAAGUCCGAAGAAGUUUAAAGUCACACUCUAGUUAUACUAUGAUUGUCAUUGUAUCUGUUAUGUAACUGACUGAAUCUGGCUGUUAUUUGAAAUACUAAGUGUGAAUUCUUUCUGUUCCGUUUUAAA